rnacentral:rRNA from 1 species
AUACGGAAGGUCCAGGCGUUAUCCAGAUUUAUUGGGUUUAAAGGGAGCGUAGGCCGUCUGUUAAGCGUGUUGUGAAAUGUAGAUGCUCAACAUCUGAAUUGCAGCGCGAACUGGCAGACUUGAGUGUGCGCAACGUAGGCGGAAUUCGUGGUGUAGCGGUGAAAUGCUUAGAUAUCACGAAGAACUCCGAUUGCGAAGGCAGCUUACGGGAGCACAACUGACGCUGAAGCUCGAAAGCGUGGGGAGC